rnacentral:lncRNA from 1 species
GGGUGGGGGUCAUCAAAUUUCGACAUUCACGACACAUACCAUUUGUAUUUCAAUAUUUCUUUUUAUUCGAGACGCUGUCCGAGAAGGUUACCUUAGCCUUUGGCUCAUGGCGGGGCACUUUCUUUCCUGACGUUUUUCGUAAAUGCCUGGUGAUUGGUGAAGUCUGAGCUUCUUCAUCGCACUACGUGCACGUGAUCGCUGCCUUGUCCUGAAGUGAAGAGGGUCUCUAACUCUACUAUAUUGUAAGACAAAUGAGAUUAAAAGAAGAAAUUUGAAAAGGUUUCCUUGUUCAGUUUGAACUGUUAAUGGUGUUGUCUGGUGUGCAGUGGUUUUGCAGUCAUUCAGUCGAGAGAUGCCCUGAGAUGGAUGAUCAUCUGCUGACUUUUCUUACAUCGUCUUUUUCAAUGGAGAUGCUGUCCGAGAAGCCUGGUGGAGUCUAAAAGCAUCUUCAUUGCGUUGCGUGUACGUGAUCUCUACCGUUUGAUGAAGGUUCUCCAACUAAGAGGGUCUCUACUACAUUUCAAGACAACAUUGUGAUGGAAAUAGGAAAUCUGAAUGAAAUACUAAUAAUGUUUCUAUGGUCAGUUUGAUGUUUGAGCUGUAUUGUUGUGGCUGUUUGGUGUGGAGUGGUUUUCCAGGAGACAUGUGUUAAAAAGUCUUUUCCAAGGAUAAAGCGGCUGAUGUUGGUAACAUCGCAAUCUUAUGCCACUGAGCCUGAGAUAAUUUCUACAUUGUUCGUGAUCAAUGCGGUCAACUUCAACAUUCUUCUUCAUAAAUAUCUUAAAAGAUUAAUGGCUUGGUGAGAUUGAGCUUUUUCAUGGCAGUCAAAUGUCCGCAUGGAAUUGUUGCAGCCAAGUGGUGAAGGUUGUAGUGAGCUGUUGCAUGAUGACCAUGUGCUGGUGUGGGGAAGUGCUGCAUGCUGUCUGGUGUUUCCAUAGUCAGUUAGAUGUAUGAGCUAAUUAUGUUGCUCUUUGGUGUGCAGUUCAUGUUCAGGUGUUUUUGUUGGAGCCAGCUGGUGAAAGGGGGUUUGAAUUGUGUAGAGCUGUAGCUUAUUGUAGCAGUCAACAAUGCUGGAGUUAUUCUGAAGUGCAACAUCAAUGAAGACAUUCUGAAAUGAUUUGGUGACAAUGUGAUCAACAAUAUGCUGAAUGGAGUCUAUGCUGUUUUUGUAACAAGGAGUGGAGAAGUAAAGACUAAGCAAGGCUGCAAGAAAAUGAAAUGGUCUCGGCGUAAAUGUGCAGUCGCUUUGCAGUCUCAAUCCUGUUCAAGCUGUUGCUAUCCUGAAUUAUGCUGGAGUCUUGGAAGUAGCUGAUCCUGAAGUUGGGUUGCUGGUGUUAUCCUGAAGAAGCUGAUGUUGAUAUUAUUAAGUGAAUGUGCUAGUUCAGUUCUGGUUGUUCAAAAUUAUAUCCAUGUUGUAUGUGAUAUUAGCAACCUUGAGAUUUCUUAUCAACUAAGACAUGUUGCAACCUGUUAAUAACUGAAACAGCACUCCUUCCUGAAAUUUCCUCACCCAUAUAUUUUUAAAUAAUUCUUAAAUAAUGGGAUAUCAAAACUUGCAGUAUUAUACCUUGUACAUUGUUAUAUCUGAUAUAUUUUUCAUAAGUUGUGAAAUUUUUAAACAAAUUAAAAUACAAUCAAUUAUAUGAAACUAAAA